AGGGGUUGUGUAUGUGUUUGGCCU
rnacentral:miRNA from 1 species